GUAAAAACAACCUCAGCGAGUUCGACUCAUCCGCGACUCGGUUGGGUUCGAGUUACCGCCGCUUAGUCGUUAGCUGGGCGAGCCUUGGGAUCGGAUAGGAGCGGGCGGGGGCGGUACCGUACGGGAGGAACGGGCGGCAGCGGCGAGCGGUCCCACGCCGAGCUGCUGCACCGCGGGGUGCUGCCGCGCCGGCGGGGCCCGAUGCGCGCGCGGCAGCCGCGGGAGCGGCGGAGCGAGCGGCCGGCGCCGCGGCGACACGAGCUCGAGGGGCGGCGGCUGCGCCGGCAGGAGGCGACGCGGGAGCUCAGCCGGGCGCGGAAGAAGGCGCCGGCGGUGCGACGGAUGGAGAUGGCGCGGCCCUCCUGAAACCUUCUACCUCUCAACAGGGGACGAACGUACCGACUACGAAAGUCUACAAACCCGUUUCGUCGGGCCCGGCGGGAGACACGUUAUCGUGCCGUGGACGCGGAUGCAUGGCUGCAUAAGUUGGUUAAUGAACUACUAUGAGGUGACGGCCUAUUGCUCCAGAGGAGUAGUCUCAACGACCACCGUAUAAGAGUACUUGUCGAGGUUUCACCAGUGUGUGAGUACCCUACAGGGUCGUCCAGGAGUUACGGAGUUCAACUAUCCCCUAAACACUGCGAUCAACGAAGGCUAAUAGGUCCUUAACUCCAAACACUGGGUUUACCGGUAACCAUGGAUCGACUACCCCAAAGUCCGGGUUUAUUAGAUAACGAAGACUGACCUUCCCGGGAUUCAGUGCAAUGGCGACCAGAAACGGGUUAAAGGGUCAUGUCCCAGUGAUUACUUUUAUCCCGUAGUGAGUGGAAAUCCAACCAGGGAGUACGGUUGCGAUAUAACCUAACGAGAGGUUAAAAUCGACGACCCGUAACGUAUGCUGUCCACAUGGUUGGGUAUGGACGUUCGGUUAAAUACCUACUAAGAAUACGACUUCUCGUACGACAAAGGUCAGUGAACCUUCUUGGAAGACUUAGAGUCCCGUUGAAACAAUCACUGGGUAGUGAGUCUUCACAGGACAGUCUGGGAGAUAGACCCCGAAAAGAACUUCUACGAUACCAAGAGGUUACACCCGUGAGUAAACCACCGCAGUACGACUUCUUUCAGUAACUUUACCGAUCUACGUGGUAAACGUUACCUCUUCAACUGGGUAGGAGGAACAAAGGAUUAGAACACAAGACGAUACUUGUCGAAAUUCUCGUCAUCGGUGCCACCACUUCUACCUCCUACUGUCCUCUGACAAAGUAUUGCGACGAGAAGCCUUCGCGUCCUUUCUACACUAGCUCGUAUUCCUACACGGCUUCGCCUGACCCUCAGCGUUUCUGUUGCCACUCGAACGAGACCUACGACUUUCGGGCCACCGUAAGUUCCCUCACGUCAUGGGUAAACAUCACCCGCUCUCCCAGGAGUAGUACCCCUUGUUUUCCUGCGGCCUCUUUAAGUAGCCCUUCCUCCGCCAGUAGUGCAGCGUCACAGACUUACCGACCAUAGAACACUUCCGCGAGCUGUCGCCUCUCUCAUGCGCCGACGUCAUGGCCAGCGACUCCUUUCACGGCCUCGACGUUGACGUCUGCGUUCGCUCCGACGUCGGGGACCGUAAAGAGCCACCGUCUGUUAUCCUCUACCGUUACUGCCUAGUACACACAUGGUAUUGGUGGCGGGUUCCACAGCCAGUCCAUCCUGCUCCUUCUAUACGACCAUCACGACGACACACGUUCAACACAUGGUUACCUAGAAUUAAAGCAAAGGAACACACAUAUCGAUCCAUUGCUUUAAUAGUGUUACCACCAUCCCGCGAGGGGACGGAACAAGCUUCCGCUCUAGUUACAUUUUCAGACUCUCAUACUUUACUUCAGUACACGGACCUAAAAGCUACAGCGCUUG
rnacentral:rRNA from 1 species